rnacentral:tRNA from 1 species
ACUUAUAUAGUAUUGUAUACAUUUAAUUUCCAAUUAAAAACCCCAUUUAAUUAAUAAUGGUAUAAGUA